rnacentral:rRNA from 1 species
GUGCCAGCAGCCGCGGUAAUACGGAGGGUGCAAAGCGUUAAUCGGAAUUACUGGGCGUAAAGCGCACGCAGGCGGUUUGUUAAGUCAGAUGUGAAAUCCCCGCGCUUAACGUGGGAACUGCAUUUGAAACUGGCAAGCUAGAGUCUUGUAGAGGGGGGUAGAAUUCCAGGUGUAGCGGUGAAAUGCGUAGAGAUCUGGAGGAAUACCGGUGGCGAAGGCGGCCCCCUGGACAAAGACUGACGCUCAGGUGCGAAAGCGUGGGGAGCAAACAGGAUUAGAUACCCUGGUAGUCC